rnacentral:rRNA from 1 species
CCACGUCCUUAGUUACCAGCAUUAGUUGGGUCCUAAGGAGACUGUCGGUCAUAAGUCGUAGGAAGGUGUGGACGAVGUCAAGUCAUCAUGGCUUACGGGUUGGGCUACACACGUGCUACAAUGGCAUCUACAGUGAGUUAAUCUVAAAAGAUGUCUCAGUUCGGAUUGGGGUCUGCAACUCGACCCCAUGAAGUUGGAAUCGCUAGUAAUVCGGAACAGCAUGCCGMGGUGAAUACGUUCCCGGGCCUU